UGGGGAAUCUUGGACAAUGGGCGCAAGCCUGAUCCAGCCAUGCCGCGUGGAUGAUGAAGGCCUUAGGGUUGUAAAAUCCUUUUCGCCGAGGACGAUAAUGACGGUACUCGGAGAAGAAGCUCCGGCUAACUUCGUGCCAGCAGCCGCGGUAAUACGAAGGGGGCUAGCGUUGUUCGGAAUCACUGGGCGUAAAGCGCACGUAGGCGGAUAGUUAAGUCAGGGGUGAAAUCCUGGGGCUCAACCCCAGAACUGCCUUUGAUACUGGCUGUCUCGAGGUCGAGAGAGGUUGGUGGAAUUCCUAGUGUAGAGGUGAAAUUCGUAGAUAUUAGGAAGAACACCAGUGGCGAAGGCGGCCAACUGGCUCGAUACUGACGCUGAGGUGCGAAAGCGUGGGGAGCAAACAGGAUUAGAUACCCUAGUAGUCCCUGAGCGGGCUGGCAAGGCGCAU
rnacentral:rRNA from 1 species